AUUGACCGCUGGCGGCAGGCCUAACACAUGCAAGUCGCACGAGUGGCGGACGGGUGAGUAAUGUCUGGGAAAAUGCCUGAUGGAGGGGGAUAACUACUGGAAACGGUAGCUAAUACCGCAUACCAUCAGAUGUGCCCAGAUGGGAUUAGCUAGGUGGUGGGGUAACGGCUCACCAAGGCGACGAUCCCUCGCUGGUCUGAGAGGAUGACCAGCCACACUGGAACGUAGACACGGGCCAGACUCCUACGGGAGGCAGCAGUGGGGAAUAUGGCACAAUGGGCGCAAGCCUGAUGCAGCCAUGCCGCGUGUAUGAAGAAGGCCUUCGGGUUGUAAAGUACUUUCAGCGGGGAGGCGUUACCCGCAGAAGAAGCACCGGCUAACUCCGUGCCAGCAGCCGCGGUAAUAC
rnacentral:rRNA from 1 species